rnacentral:rRNA from 1 species
UUUGGACAAUGGGGCAACCUGAUCCAGCAUGCCGCUUGAGUGAAGAAGGCCUUCGGGUUGUAAAGCUCUUUUGUCAGGGAAGAAACGGUGAUUCUUAAUACGGAUGCUAAUGACGGUACUGAAGAAUAAGCACCGGCUAACUACGUGCCAGCAGCCGCGGUAAUACGUAGGGUGCAAGCGUUAAUCGGAAUUACUGGGCGUAAAGCGUGCGCAGGCGGUUAUGUAAGUCAGAUGUGAAAUCCCCGGGCUCAACCUGGGAAUGGCAUUUGAGACUGCAUGGCUAGAGUGUGUCAGAGGGGGGUAGAAUUCCACGUGUAGCAGUGAAAUGCGUAGAUAUGUGGAGGAAUACCGAUGGCGAAGGCAGCCCCCUGGGAUAACACUGACGCUCAUGCACGAAAGCGUAGGGAGCAAACAGGAUUAGAUACCCUGGUAGUCCACGCCCUAAACGAUGUCUACUAGUUGUCGGGUCUUAAUUGACUUGGUAACGCAGCUAACGCGUGAAGUAGACCGCCUGGGGAGUACGGUCGCAAGAUUAAAACUCAAAGGAAUUGACGGGGACCCGCACAAGCGGUGGAUGAUGUGGAUUAAUUCGAUGCAACGCGAAAAGCCUUACCUACCCUUGACAUGUACGGAAGCCACGAGAGAUCGAGGUGUGCUCGAAAGAGAACCGUAACACAGGUGCUGCAUGGCUGUCGUCAGCUCGUGUCGUGAGAUGUUGGGUUAAGUCCCGCAACGAGCGCAACCCUUGUCAUUAGUUGCUACGAAAGGGCACUCUAAUGAGACUGCCGGUGACAAACCGGAGGAAGGUGGGGAUGACGUCAAGUCCUCAUGGCCCUUAUGGGUAGGGCUUCACACGUCAUACAAUGGUACAUACAGAGGGCCGCCAACCCGCGAGGGGGAGCUAAUCCCAGAAAGUGUAUCGUAGUCCGGAUUGUAGUCUGCAACUCGACUACAUGAAGUUGGAAUCGCUAGUAAUCGCGGAUCAGCAUGUCGCGGUGAAUACGUUCCCGGGUCUUGUACACACCGCCCGUCACACCAUGGGAGCGGGUUUCACCAGAAGUAGGUAGCUUAACCGCAAGGAGGGCGCUUACCACGGUGGGAUUCGUGACUGGGGUG